GACUAGGGAGAGGGAAGUGACGUCAACGACACAGCAAACGCGGAUUGGGUGUUGAUUUCGUCUUCUUCUGUCAACAUCCAAUCUACGUUUGCUGUGUCGUCGACGUCACUUCCCUCUCCCUAGUCU
rnacentral:pre_miRNA from 1 species